AGUGGGGAGGGGGAAGACCACGUUGACCGCUCCAGUUUGGCCUCACACACAGUUCAUCUCUACCCUCUCAACGCUGGGAAUCGACUUGUCCGGCUCAAGCUGGGGGCUCAGCCUUCCGCCCCUCCCAACUCGGGGACCCGGCCACCCAGGGACACCCAAGCGCGGCCUUUACCUUAGGGCCGCCAGCAAUAAAAACGGUUGGUAGGAACCGCGGCUUCCGGGUGGCGCGGGUGAAUGACGUGGCAGAGAUGAGGAGCAACCAGCAAAUGGGAUUGUGAGAGUGGCGUGUGAGGUAGGAGAAAGAAGAGAAUCGAAUCUAGGAAGGGACAUGGAUGGAGCUGGAAACCAUUAUCCUCAGCAAA